rnacentral:rRNA from 1 species
GUGCCAGCCGCAGCGGUAAUACGUAGGGUCCGAGCGUUGUCCGGAAUUAUUGGGCGUAAAGGGCUCGUAGGCGGUUUGUCGCGUCGGGAGUGAAAUCCAGCAGCUUAACUGCUGGUCUGCUUUCGAUACGGGCAGACUUGAGGCAUUCAGGGGAGAACGGAAUUCCUGGUGUAGCGGUGAAAUGCGCAGAUAUCAGGAGGAACACCGGUGGCGAAGGCGGUUCUCUGGGAAUGUUCUGACGCUGAGGAGCGAAAGUGUGGGGAGCGAACAGGAUUAGAUACCCUGGUAGUCCACACCGUAAACGUUGGGCGCUAGGUGUGGGACACAUUCCACGUGUUCUGUGCCGUAGCUAACGCAUUAAGCGCCCCGCCUGGGGAGUACGGCCGCAAGGCUAAAACUCAAAGGAAUUGACGGGGCCCGCACAAGCGGCGGAGCAUGCGGAUUAAUUCGAUGCAACGCGAAGAACCUUACCUGGUUUGACAUACACCAGACGACAGCAGAGAUG